GAUGAACGCUGGCGGCGUGCCUAAUACAUGCAAGUCGAGCGAACAGACGAGGAGCUUGCUCCUCUGACGUUAGCGGCGGCCGGGUGAGUAACACGUGGAUAACCUACCUAUAAGACUGGGAUAACUUCGGGAAACCGGAGCUAAUACCGGAUCAUAUAUUGAACCGCUUGGUUCAAUAGUGAAAGACGGUUUUGCUGUCACUAAUAGAUGGAUCCGCGCCGGCUUAGCUAGUUGGUAAGGUAACGGCUUACCAAGGCAACGAUGCGUAGCCGACCUGAGGGGGUGAUCGGCCACACGGGAACGUAGACACGGUCCAGACGCCUACGGGAGGCAGCAGUAGGGAAUGGUAGGCAAUGGGCGAAAGCUUUACGGAGCAACGCCGCGUGAGAGAUGAAGGCCUUCGGAUCGGAAAGAUCUGUUAUUAGGGAAGAACAAAUGUUUGAGUAACUGUGGACGUCGUGACGGUACCUAAACAAAAAGCCACGGCUAACUACGUG
rnacentral:rRNA from 1 species